rnacentral:rRNA from 1 species
AUUGAACGCUGGCGGCAGGCCUAACACAUGCAAGUCGGGCGAGCGGCAGACGGGUGAGUAAUGUAUGGGGAUCUGCCUGAGGGAGGGGGAUAACUAAUGGAAAGGGUAACUAAUAACGCAUACCAUCAGAUGAACCAAUAUGGGAUGAGCUUGUAGGUAAGGUAAAGGCUUUCCUAGUCGACGAUCCCUAGCUGGUCUGAGAGGAUGAUCAGCCACACUGGGACUGAGACACGGCCCAGACUCCUACGGGAGGCAGCAGUGGGGAAGAUUGCACAAUGGGCGCAAGCCUGAUGCAGCCAUGCCGCGUGUAUGAAGAAGGCCUUCGGGUUGUAAAGUACUUUCAGUCGGGAGGCGUUACCGACAGAAGAAGCACCGGCUAACUCCGUGCCAGCAGCCGCGGUAAUAC